UUUAAAUCUUUGAAGGAAACAGUAGGGUACACGGUUAUUAUAUAGCGAGCUAGGGGUGGUGCGAGCCUAGUUAAUACAAGUAUUUGAACAUCAUUCCUGAGUUAAAUGGCUGAAUAGUAGUAAGCCAUUUCGUUACGCAGCGUUAAUGCGUCUAAGACAUAGUGCGCGCACUAUAAAUUAGGGUGGUACCACGAAACUAAAGCUUCGUCCCUUUC
rfam:Lysinibacillus sp. BF-4 contig00001, whole genome shotgun sequence.